rnacentral:misc_RNA from 1 species
GAAAUGCGAUAAGUAAUGUGAAUUGCAGAAUUCAGUGAAUCAUCGAAUCUUUGAACGCACCUUGCGCUCCUUGGUAUUCCUUGGAGCAUGCCUGUUUGAGUAUCAUGAAAUCUUCAAAGUAAAUCUUUUGUUAACUCAAUUGGUUUCUACUUUGGUAUUGGAGGUCUUUGCAGCUUCACACCUGCUCCUCUUUGUUCAUUAGCUGGAUCUCAGUGUUAUGCUUGGUUCCACUCGGCGUGAUAAGUUAUCUAUCGCUGAGGACACUGUAAAAGGUGGCCAAGGUAAAUGCAGAUGAACCGCUUCUAAUAGUCCAUUGACUUGGACAAUACUUUUAUGAUCUGAUCUCAAAUCAGGUAGGAAAACCCGCUGAACUUAAGC